rnacentral:rRNA from 1 species
GACGAACGCUGGCGGCGUGCUUAACACAUGCAAGUCGAGCGGAAAGGCCACUUCGGUGGUGCUCGAGCGGCGAACGGGUGAGUAACACGUGAGUAAUCUGCCCCUGGCUUUGGGAUAGCCACCGGAAACGGUGAUUAAUACCGGAUACGACCACUUCUCGCAUGGGAUGGUGGUGGAAAGUUUUUCGGCCAGGGAUGUGCUCGCGGCCUAUCAGCUUGAUGGUGAGGUAAUGGCUCACCAUGGCUUCGACGGGUAGCCGGCCUGAGAGGGUGACCGGUCACACUGGGACUGAGACACGGCCCAGACUCCUACGGGAGGCAGCAGUGGGGAAUAUUGGACAAUGGGCGGAAGCCUGAUCCAGCAACGCCGCGUGAGGGAUGACGGCCUUCGGGUUGUAAACCUCUUUCAGCAGGGACGAAGCGCAAGUGACGGUACCUGCAGAAGAAGCACCGGCCAACUACGUGCCAGCCGCCGCCGUAACAC